AGAAUUUUUCGCAAUGGGCGCAAGCCUGACGAAGCGACACCGUGUGAGUGAAGAAGGCCUUCGGGUUGUAAAGCUCUUUCGCCUAAGAACAAGGUAAUUUUGUGAAUCAUGAAAUUGCUUGAGGGUACUAGGUAAAGAAGCACCGGCUAACUCCGUGCCAGCAGCUGCGGUAAUACGGAGGGUGCAAGCGUUAAUCGGAUUUAUUGGGCGUAAAGUGCGCGUAGGCGGACUUGAAAGUCAGAUGUGAAAUUUCGUAGCUCAACUACGAAGCUGCAUUUGAAACUUCAAGACUAGAGGAUAGAGCGGGGGAAGCGGAAUUCCACGUGUAGCGGUGAAAUGCGUAGAUAUGUGGAGGAACACCGGUGGCGAAGGCGGCUUUCUAGCCUAUACCUGACGCUGAGGCGCGAAAGCGUGGGGAGCA
rnacentral:rRNA from 1 species